UACGAAGGGUGCAAGCGUUACUCGGAAUUACUGGGCGUAAAGCGUGCGUAGGCGGUUUGUUAAGUCUGUCGUGAAGGCCCCGGGCUCAACCUGGGAAUGGCGAUGGAAACUGGCGAGCUAGAGUACGGUAGAGGAGAGUGGAAUUCCCGGUGUAGCAGUGAAAUGCGUAGAUAUAGGAAGGAACACCAGUGGCGAAGGCGACUACCUGGACUGAUACUGACACUGAGGUGCGAAAGCGUGGGGAGCAAACAGGAUUAGAAACCCCC
rnacentral:rRNA from 1 species